rnacentral:rRNA from 1 species
CGAGCACGCGCGUGUGGCAUAUCAAUAAGCGGAGGAAAAGAAACUAACAAGGAUUCCCUUAGUAACGGCGAGUGAAGCGGGAAGAGCUCAAAUUUGAAAUCUUCAAGGUUCUACCUUGACGAAUUGUAGUUUAUAGAAGUGUUUUCUGUUAGUGGAGUGGCAAAAGUUCUUUGGAAUAGGACAUCAUAGAGGGUGAGAAUCCCGUAUUUGGUCAUUCCUUCCUAGCGUUGUGAUACACUUUCAACGAGUCGGAUUGUUUGGGAAUGCAGUCCAAAAUGGGUGGUAAAUUUCAUCUAAAGCUAAAUAUUGGCGAGAGACCGAUAGCGAACAAGUACCGUGAGGGAAAGAUGAAAAGAACUUUGAAAAGAGAGUUAAGCAGUACGUGAAAUUGUCAAAAGGGAAGCGUUUGACACCAGUGUUGUUUUUACCGAAAAUCAAUUACGAAUGUUUUGUUUUUGAGGAGUUAUGACUUCAUCGGCUUGCUCCUUUCUUUAUGAAACUUUCUUAAUGCACUUUUCGGUUAACAAGUCAACAUCAAUUUCUUUUGUUGUAAAAGGGUAUGAGGAAGGUGGCUUUCUUUUCGGAGAAAGUGUUUAUAGCCUUGUGCCUCUGCAAUCGGAGAGAUUGAGGUCUGCAGCGUAGAUCCUUCGGGGUUAGAUACAGUUUGUGCUAAGUUAUAGCUUUUCAUAGACAACUUGUUGACUAUGUUUAGUCUUGUAGCUUACUCGCUUAUGCUAUUUUACCUACGCUUAGGAUGUUGAUGUGAUACUGCGAGCA